UACGUAGGGGGCUAGCGUUGUCCGGAUUUAUUGGGCGUAAAGCGCUCGCAGGUGGCCCGAUGCGUCGUGCGUGAAAGACCCCGGCUCAACUGGGGGGUGUCGUGCGAUACGGUCGGGCUGGAGGCCAGUAGGGGGAUGCGGAAUUCCGGGUGUAGUGGUGGAAUGCGUAGAGAUCCGGAGGAACACCAGCGGCGAAGGCGGCAUCCUGGACUGGUCCUGACACUCAUGAGCGAAAGCGUGGGGAGCGAUCCGG
rnacentral:rRNA from 1 species